CGAACGCUGGCGGCGUGCUUAACACAUGCAAGUCGAACGGAAAGGCCCCUUUGGGGGUCCUCGAGUGGCGAACGGGUGAGUAACACGUGAGUAACCUGCCCUUGACUUCGGGAUAACUUCAGGAAACUGGGGCUAAUACCGGAUAGGAAUCCUUGCUGCAUGGUGGGGGUUGGAAAGCUUCGGCGGUUUUGGAUGGACUCGCGGCUUAUCAGCUUGUUGGUGGGGUAGUGGCUUACCAAGGCUUUGACGGGUAGCCGGCCUGAGAGGGCGACCGGCCACAUUGGGACUGAGAUACGGCCCAGACUCCUACGGGAGGCAGCAGUGGGGAAUAUUGCACAAUGGGCGGAAGCCUGAUGCAGCAACGCCGCGUGCGGGAUGACGGCCUUCGGGUUGUAAACCGCUUUCAGCAGGGGCGAAGCUUGUGGUGACGGUACCUGCAGAAGAAGCACCGGCUAACUACGUG
rnacentral:rRNA from 1 species